rnacentral:rRNA from 1 species
AUUGAACGCUGGCGGCAUGCCUUACACAUGCAAGUCGAACGGCAGCGCGGACUUCGGUCUGGCGGCGAGUGGCGAACGGGUGAGUAAUGUAUCGGAACGUACCAUUCAGUGGGGGAUAACGCAGCGAAAGUUGCGCUAAUACCGCAUAUUCUGUGCGCAGGAAAGCAGGGGAUGGCAAGACCUUGCGCUGAUUGAGCGGCCGAUAUCAGAUUAGCUAGUUGGUGAGGUAAAGGCUCACCAAGGCGACGAUCUGUAGAGGGUCUGAGAGGAUGAUCCGCCACACUGGAACUGAGACACGGUCCAGACUACUACGGGAGGCAGCAGUGGGGAAUUUUGGACAAUGGGCGCAAGCCUGAUCCAGCCAUGCCGCGUGAGUGAAGAAGGCCUUCGGGUUGUAAAGCUCUUUCGGCCGGGAAGAAAUCGUAUGGGUUAAUACCCUGUGCGGAUGACGGUACCGGCAUAAGAAGCACCGGCUAACUACGUGCCAGCAGCCGCAGUAACAC